GACGAACGCUGGCGGCGUGCUUAACACAUGCAAGUCGAACGGAAAGGCCCUGCUUUCGUGGGGUGCUCGAGGGGCGAACGGGUGAGUAACACGUGAGUAACCUGCCCUUGACUUUGGGAUAACUUCAGGAAACUGGGGCUAAUACCGGAUAGGAGCUCCUGCUGCAGGGUGGGGGUGGGAAAGUUUCGGCGGGUGGGGAUGGACUCGCGGGUGAUCAGCUUGUUGGUGGGGUAGUGGCUUACCAAGGCUUGGACGGGUAGCCGGCCUGGGAGGGUGACCGGCCUCAUUGGGACUGCGAUACGGCCCAGACGCCUACGUGAGGCAGCAGUGGGGAAUAUUGCACAAUGGGCGGACGCCUGAUGCAGCAACGCCGCGUGCGGGAUGACGGCCUUCGGGUUGUAAACCGCUUUCGCCUGUGACGAAGCGUGAGUGACGGUAAUGGGUAAAGAAGCACCGGCUAACUACGUG
rnacentral:rRNA from 1 species